rnacentral:rRNA from 1 species
GACGUAGGGGGCAAGCGUUGUCCGGAAUCACUGGGCGUAAAGGGCGCGUAGGCGGGCAGACGAGUCCGUGGAUCAAGACUUUGGCUCAACCAAAGAAGAGCCAUGGAGACCGGCCGCCUCGAGGAUCGAAGAGGAGAGAGGAAUUCCCGGAGUAGCGGUGGAAUGCGUAGAUACCGGGAGGAACACCAGUGGCGAAAGCGACUCUCUGGUCGAUCACUGACGCUGAGGCGCGAAAGCGUGGGGAGCAAACAGG